CUACUUAACUUGAUUAAAUUCAAUAAUGUGUUAUUUGUAAGUUGUUUUGAACAAUAUCAAUAGUUUUGCUUGUUUUUUAUCUGAACUAUGAAUUCUUUAAUUUAUAAUACCUGCUAUAAAUAAAUAUACCAGCUGAUAUAAAAUGGUGUUUUUGUCAUCUUUUUGUCACCAUGCCUUAAUGUUUAAGCAAAAAUACACUUAUUGUUAUGCUUUCAAAUGGUAGUACAUUUUGUAAUGCUUUUUUGUCAUUUUUGUAUUCAAGCAAAUUUUCC
rnacentral:lncRNA from 1 species